rnacentral:rRNA from 1 species
AUUGAACGCUGGCGGCAGGCCUAACACAUGCAAGUCGAGCGGAUGAAGGGAGCUUGCUCCUGGAUUCAGCGGCGGACGGGUGAGUAAUGCCUAGGAAUCUGCCUGGUAGUGGGGGAUAACGUCCGGAAACGGGCGCUAAUACUGCAUACGUCCUGAGGGAGAAAGUGGGGGAUCUUCGGACCUCACGCUAUCAGAUGAGCCUAGGUCGGAUUAGCUAGUUGGUGGGGUAAAGGCCUACCAAGGCGACGAUCCGUAACUGGUCUGAGAGGAUGAUCAGUCACACUGGAACUGAGACACGGUCCAGACUCCUACGGGAGGCAGCAGUGGGGAAUAUUGGACAAUGGGCGAAAGCCUGAUCCAGCCAUGCCGCGUGUGUGAAGAAGGUCUUCGGAUUGUAAAGCACUUUAAGUUGGGAGGAAGGGCAGUAAGUUAAUACCUUGCUGUUUUGACGUUACCAACAGAAUAAGCACCGGCUAACUUCG